UGGGGAAUAUUGGACAAUGGGCGAAAGCCUGAUCCAGCAAUGCCGCGUGAGUGAUGAAGGCCCUAGGGUUGUAAAGCUCUUUUACCCGGGAAGAUAAUGACUGUACCGGGAGAAUAAGCCCCGGCUAACUCCGUGCCAGCAGCCGCGGUAAUACGGAGGGGGCUAGCGUUGUUCGGAAUUACUGGGCGUAAAGCGUACGUAGGCGGCUUGGCAAGUUAGAGGUGAAAGCCCGGAGCUCAACUCCGGAAUAGCCUUUGAGACUGCCUCGCUUGAACGUCGGAGAGGUGAGUGGAAUUCCGAGUGUAGAGGUGAAAUUCGUAGAUAUUCGGAAGAACACCAGUGGCGAAGGCGGCUCACUGGACGACUGUUGACGCUGAGGUACGAAAGCGUGGGGAGCAAACA
rnacentral:rRNA from 1 species